rnacentral:lncRNA from 1 species
GGGGACCAGAACCCGCUGGCUCUAGAAAGUGCCCCUCGCCCAUCCCUGCCCAUGGGUUGCAUCAGCAGCGUGUCUUCUUUGUUCUCUCCCUGAAGGGUAGGAUGCUCAUGACCUUGGCCUUGCAGUUUGGGUGGGUGCACCUCCUGUCCUGGUGCUGACAUCUGGAUGAUUUAUGAACAUCAUUACCCUUUCACUGGACUCUUACUCUUCGGAGUCUUCAGAGCUGCCUGGGCCUAGCGCCCAAGAAGUUUGCUCCUUGCAUCAAUGGCGAUGCUAGACAUAUUCUACUGGCUGUGGCCCAAAGGCUGGAGGUGGAACUGUAAGAGCAGAGAGGAGGAGAAGGCUCACCAUGAAGACAAAAGAAGUCCUGAGCCUUGGAUUUUCUUCCUCUAGGGCUUUGUGGACCCACAGAUUGGUAGAAGUUCUGUGAGGGCUGACUUCUCCCCAUCUGUCCCAGAUGGAUCCCUUAAGAAAAGAACACUGAGCCUCAGAGAGGUCAAGCAAUUGGCCCAAGAUCACACAGCCUGCAAGAAACAGAGAUGGGACUCAGACCCUGGUCUAUUUGGCUCCCAUGUGCCUUACUACUAUGUUAUACCCACCCCUCCAGGAAUUUCAAGUCCCAAGAAAUGGCCUCCAGAAGGAAAUCCUUUGCCAUCCCCCUAACUUGAGUAUUCAGUGAUUUCUGGAAUAGAACUUGCCUGUUACAGAAAUGGGAAAAAUAUGAAGACACAUGCAAUAAAAAUAAAAACUAAAUUUAGAAUGAAGAGGAGACACAACCUAG